rnacentral:tRNA from 1 species
UAGUUCAGUUGGUAGAGCAUGAGAUUCUUAAUCUCAAGGUCAUGGGUUUGUGCCCCAC